rnacentral:pre_miRNA from 1 species
CUCCAUGGGCAUGAUCCAAAGCCAUUGAAGUCAAUGGAUAACUAUGCAUUGACUUCAGUGGGCUUUGGAUCAGGCCCUGCAUUAG